CGCUGGCGGCAGGCCUAACACAUGCAAGUCGGACGGUAACAGGAGAGAAGCUUGCUUUUCUUGCUGACGAGUGGCGGACGGGUGAGUAACGCGUGGGAAUCUACCCUUUAGUUGGGGACAACAUAUGGAAACGUAUGCUAAUACCGAAUAUGCUCUACGGAGUAAAGGUGCCCUCUCCUUGGAAGGUAUCGCUAAAGGAUGAGCCCGCGUUAGAUUAGCUAGUUGGUAGGGUAAAGGCCUACCAAGGCGACGAUCUAUAGCUGGUUUGAGAGGAUGAUCAGCCACACUGGGACUGAGACACGGCCCAGACUCCUACGGGAGGCAGCAGUGGGGAAUAUUGCACAAUGAGGGAAACCUUGAUGCAGCCAUGCCGCGUGUGUGAAGAAGGCCCGAGGGUUGUAAAGCACUUUCAAUUGUGAGGAAGAUUAAGUAGCUAAUACCUGCUUAGUUUGACGUUAACUUUAGAAGAAGCACCGGCUAACUCUGUGCCAGCAGCCGCGGUAAUACAGAGGGUGCAAGCGUUAUUCGGAAUUACUGGGCGUAAAGCGCGCGUAGGCGGACUGUUAAGUCGGUUGUGAAAGCCCUGGGCUCAACCUAGGAACUGCAUCCGAUACUGGCAAUCUAGAGUUUAAGAGAGGGAAGUGGAAUUCCAGGUGUAGCAGUGAAAUGCGUAGAUAUCUGGAGGAACAUCAGUGGCGAAGGCGACUUCCUGGCUUAAAACUGACGCUGAGGUGCGAAAGCUUGGGUAGCGAACGGGAUUAGAUACCCCGGUAGUCCAAGCCGUAAACGAUGUCAACUAGCUGUUGGUCUUAUUAAAAAGAUUAGUAGCGCAGCUAACGCGAUAAGUUGACCGCCU
rnacentral:rRNA from 1 species